UCUAAAUUGAAUUAUCUUUUUUUUUUAAUUACAAUUGAUGGCUAGUACUUUUAUAGGUCCAACUAACCUACUUCUAGAAAGUUCCAUUUAAACUGACCUCAUAACAAAUUUUAACUAAUUCUGUUAGCUACAUCACAAAUGACACUUACAAAAAAUAACAGUAAUAAGGAACAUCUUAUUUCAACACCCCCCCCCUUAAGCUGCAGGGUGGAAAACAUCUAGAACCCCAAGCUUGGACAAAAGGAAGUGAUGUUAUGCUACAACAAGACCUUUGGUAAGCAAGUCAGCCAAUUGCAGAGUAGUUGACAAAUGUGCAGGUUUAAUCAACCCUGCGUGAAACCUUUCCCUCACAAAAUGGCAAUCAAUCUCAAUAUGCUUUGUACGAUGGGAUUUGAAGCUAUUUGUAUUGCAACUUUGUUGUCACAGUGUCACGCCCCAUUUUCGCAAAAAAUGGGUUUUGUGCGCCACCUAACAACUCUUUUCGGAUUUCGAGUUUGGAGUCGCCACCUAACGAAUUUAGGCGCGUUAGGGCACCUAUCUAACCUAAUUAAGUCUAACUAAGGUCAACGAGCCAGAGAUUAGGGUAAGGGUUCAAAUUACCUCGAGGGGAAGGUGUUAGGCAUGCCUCGAGGUCCACAAGUGUGGGUCCCGGCCGUAUCUCAUGCAAUCUAUGUGGGGGUUACAAGUAGCAAUCAAGGUCACUUCAUUAUUAUUCAUUAAUGUGCUUUGCUAAGUGAUAACAAGUAUAAAACAAUUAAGGCUAUUUUAUUAAUUUAAACAUGCG
rnacentral:misc_RNA from 1 species